rnacentral:rRNA from 1 species
AUGUCGAUCUCGUCGGCGCGCCAGCGCCGGUCCACGGCUGCGUCGCCGCUAACCGACGACGGGUACUCCAAGGAGGCCAAGGAGAGGAGGCGGCGCACCGACGGCGAGGAGGUGGAGGAGGGCAUGCGGUGGUUCCUCCCGUUCCUGGCCCUCGGCCUCCUCCGCCACAUGAGCGCGUCCUCCAACCUGAUCCACGACUGCGACGAGGUGUUCAACUACUGGGAGCCCCUCCACUUCCUCCUCUACCGCUUCGGCUUCCAGACCUGGGAGUACAGUUCCGACCAUGCUCUUAGGUCAUAUUUGUACCUUUUCAUUCAUGGUCUUGUAGCUGGUCCUGCUUCAUCAAUCUUUGGCGGUGAACAUAAGGUUCGUGUGUUUUACGCUGUGAGAAUCUUUCUUGGACUUCUAUCGACUAUAACAGAAACUGUUCUGGUAGUUGCUCUUUCAAGAAGAUAUGGAAAGAGACUUGCUUGUUAUGUCCUUGCAAUGCUAUGCUUAACCAGUGGCUGCUUCUUUGCUAGUACCAGUUUCUUGCCAAGUUCGUUCUCCAUGUAUGCUGUAACACUUUCAUCGGCACUCUUCCUUCUAGAGAAGUAUGCUUGUGCAGUCGCUGUUGCAGCUGCUGGAGUAAUUCUUGGCUGGCCUUUCUCGAUUUUGGUGUUUCUCCCUGUCACUGUUUACUCAUUAUUCAGGGGACAUUUUAAAAGGGUGUUUCUGUCUGGACUUUUGACUUCACUAUGCCUUCUUGUCCUUUCGGUUGUUGCUGAUUAUUACAGCUAUGGUAGAUGGACAUCAUCCGUGUUCAAUCUUCUAAAAUAUAAUGUGCUUGGUGGUGGUGAGAGUCACUUGUAUGGAACAGAGGGGACCACAUUCUACUUCAGGAAUGCAUUCAAUAACUUCAAUUUCGCAUUUGUUUUGGCUCUGCUAUUCGUGGGGGUUGCACUAUCUGCAAGGAAGAACUAUGCCCCAGAUCUGUUGAUAGUUGUCUCUCCUGUCUACAUUUGGUUGGCUUUCAUGUCUUUGCAGGCGCAUAAAGAAGAAAGGUUUCUCUAUCCAAUUUAUCCAUUGAUAUGUGUGGCAGCAGCUUCUGUUAUUGACAGCUUUCCUUAUUUUUUCCACGACAAAUAUGCAAAUGAGCAGUCAAUUUUUGAGAAGAUAGCGAAGGGUCUGCGGCCUUUGAUCCUAGGCUUUAUUUUGUGCACCUCACACAGCCGAACAUUUUCUAUGUUGAAUGGAUAUGGUGCUCCUCUGCAGAUCUAUCGGCAUCUAGAAUAUCAUGAAGAUACUGGGCCUGGGUCUAUUCUGUGUGUUGGAAGUGAGUGGCACCGCUAUCCUUCAUCAUUCUUCGUACCCUCCUAUAUCAGCGAAGUUCGCUGGAUAGACGACGGUUUCCGAGGCCUUCUCCCAUUUCCCUUCAACGAAACUCUGGGAGGCACCACUGCUGCUCCAUCUUAUUUCAAUACCAAGAACAAGGCCUCCGACAAGCAAUACUUGAAGGACAUUGGAGCCUGCAACUUACUGAUGGAACUUGAUCUGAGGCGGCCUUACCCCUCUCGUGGAAAUGACCUGUCAACAUGGGAGACACUGGCAGCGCUACCAUUUCUAGACAGAGAGCUUUCGCCGGCACUAUACCGAUCGUUCUUCAUACCAUACCAAUGGGAGCACAAGAAUGUUUUCGGCCUGUACAAGUUGCUGAGGAGGCUGCCUACUGACCAAGGGCAACUCAAAGCUAACUCAUCGGCAGAUGCCGCAUUUGCUUCUGUGAGCUGA